AGGGGAAAGGAAUGUGCUGUGG
rnacentral:miRNA from 1 species